UUGUCCAUUUUACCCCUGUUAAA
rnacentral:miRNA from 1 species